rnacentral:rRNA from 1 species
GGGCGUAAGGGCUCGCAGGCGGUUUCUUAAGUCUGAUGUGAAAGCCCCCGGCUCAACCGGGGAGGGUCAUUGGAAACUGGGAAACUUGAGUGCAGAAGAGGAGAGUGGAAUUCCACGUGUAGCGGUGAAAUGCGUAGAGAUGUGGAGGAACACCAGUGGCGAAGGCGACUCUCUGGUCUGUAACUGACGCUGAGGAGCGAAAGCGUGGGGAGCGAACAGGAUUAGAUACCCUGGUAGUCCACGCCGUAAACGAUGAGUGCUAAGUGUUAGGGGGUUUCCGCCCCUUAGUGCUGCAGCUAACGCAUUAAGCACUCCGCCUGGGGAGUACGGUCGCAAGACUGAAACUCAAAGGAAUUGACGGGGGCCCGCACAAGCGGUGGAGCAUGUGGUUUAAUUCGAAGCAACGCGAAGAACCUUACCAGGUCUUGACAUCCUCUGACAACCCUAGAGAUAGGGCUUUCCCUUCGGGGACAGAGUGACAGGUGGUGCAUGGUUGUCGUCAGCUCGUGUCGUGAGAUGUUGGGUUAAGUCCCGCAACGAGCGCAACCCUUGAUCUUAGUUGCCAGCAUUCAGUUGGGCACUCUAAGGUGACUGCCGGUGACAAACCGGAGGAAGGUGGGGAUGACGUCAAAUCAUCAUGCCCCUUAUGACCUGGGCUACACACGUGCUACAAUGGACAGAACAAAGGGCUGCAAGACCGCAAGGUUUAGCCAAUCCCAUAAAUCUGUUCUCAGUUCGGAUCGCAGUCUGCAACUCGACUGCGUGAAGCUGGAAUCGCUAGUAAUCGCGGAUC